rnacentral:rRNA from 1 species
GGUCUCCGUAGGUGACCUGCGGAGGGAUCAUUACACAAAUAUGAAGGCGGGCUGGAACCUCUCGGGGUUACAGCCUUGCUGAAUUAUUCACCCUUGUCUUUUGCGUACUUCUUGUUUCCUUGGUGGGUUCGCCCACCACUAGGACAAACAUAAACCUUUUGUAAUUGCAAUCAGCGUCAGUAACAAAUUAAUAAUUACAACUUUCAACAACGGAUCUCUUGGUUCUGGCAUCGAUGAAGAACGCAGCGAAAUGCGAUAAGUAGUGUGAAUUGCAGAAUUCAGUGAAUCAUCGAAUCUUUGAACGCACAUUGCGCCCUUUGGUAUUCCAAAGGGCAUGCCUGUUCGAGCGUCAUUUGUACCCUCAAGCUUUGCUUGGUGUUGGGCGUCUUGUCUCUAGCUUUGCUGGAGACUCGCCUUAAAGUAAUUGGCAGCCGGCCUACUGGUUUCGGAGCGCAGCACAAGUCGCACUCUCUAUCAGCAAAGGUCUAGCAUCCAUUAAGCCUUUUUUUCAACUUUUGACCUCGGAUCAGGUAGGGAUACCCGCUGAACUUAA